rnacentral:lncRNA from 1 species
ACGAGCCUUCCUUAAAAAAAAUAAAAAACCUAACGAGCGAGGAAGAAGGAAUAUAACUGUGGGUAUGACUUAACUAUAUAAAAGACUGCUUUCUGUGUAUCCCAGUGGGUUCUCUUUCCACACCGUUCGAGCAAUAUAAUCCGUUGGAUUUUCAGAGUGAUAUGAUCGAACGGAUGUAAUUGAUUGAAUGUUUGGACCGUCAGAUCUGGUCUCGGCGGCUGAGAUGAUUUAGGGGUCACACCUUG